rnacentral:rRNA from 1 species
UACAGAGGUCCCAAGCGUUGUUCGGAUUCACUGGGCGUAAAGGGUGCGUAGGUGGUCGUUUAAGUCCGUUGUGAAAUCCCUGGGCUCAACCUGGGAAUGGCAGUGGAUACUGGACGGCUAGAAUGCGGUAGAGGGUAGUGGAAUUCCCGGUGUAGCAGUGAAAUGCGUAGAGAUCGGGAGGAACACCAGUGGCGAAGGCGGCUACCUGGACCAGCAUUGACACUCAAGCACGAAAGCGUGGGGAGCAAACAGG